rnacentral:snRNA from 1 species
AUACUUACCUUCCAGGCGAGACACCAUGAUCAGGAAGGUGGUUUUCCUAGGGUGAGACUUAUCCAUUGCGAUUGGGAUGUGCUGACCCCUACAAUUUCCCCAAAUGCAGGAAACUUGACUGCAUUAUUUGUGUUAGUGUAGAACUGCAUUCGUGCUCUCCCCA